GCAAAAAGAAGUUAGUGUGCCUGCAGCAGAGUGAGCAAGGGAAAGCCAGAACAACCGAGUCGGGGAGCAAUUGGAGCCCUUCAGACCAGAGAUGACAGUGGCCGGGACCGGGGCAGAAGCCGGGGGACCUGAUAAGAAGAGUCUGUGCUCUGGAUUUGGGUUGCGGGCACAGUUCACAGGUUUCCAAUGAACUGGCUCUUGGCUGUGACAGAUGACUCCAAGGGGCAAGCGACACAUGGAGGUUACAGCUUUUAAGGAUUUUUACUAGGGCCGUACCUCUCAGGAGGAGAGGAGGCAGCCAAGAGAAGCCAUGUUGUAACAUGGAGAAAACUUGACCAACCAUCUGAACACAGGAUGGCAGAGAAGGAGGCCAAUUCACUGCUUGUUUCUACAUCUUUAUUGAGACUCGACUGCUGGACACAUGCCAGGCCCCCAGGGGACAACAGUGAAUACAAUAGCAUGUCCCUGACUCAGUGGAAUGACCUGACUUGGUGGUACUUAUGAAGCAAACCAAAACUUCAACUGUUAUGGCUUUAAUUAUAACUUCAAUAAAUUCAUAUGCAAAUAUCAAAUUA